UCGGUCGAUCCUCUGUCAGAUUUCUCAUAAAAUCAGACUUCUCCAACAGAAAGUUCUUAUCCGAGCUUCUACAGCAGAUGACUUUCGCCUGCAGCAUCAGCGCCUAAGGCACCCGACAACAAUGGACUCAUCAGCAACCUCGAAAAUAUCUGAGCUUCUCUUAGAUUAUAGAGAUAGAGAGCCAUUCUGUUCCAUCAGACAUCCCAGCCGAUCUUCAGCCGUCAGGCCCAAACUCUCUGGCAAGUCGCG
rnacentral:lncRNA from 1 species